rnacentral:rRNA from 1 species
GUGGCGCGGCUGGGGGUUUCCCUCGCAGGGCCUGUUCUGAUGCAGCUGGCUGUGAGAAUUAAUGUGAAUUGCAAGACACAUUGAUCAUCGACACUUAGAACGCACUUGCGGCCCUGGGUUCCUCCCAGGGCUUUGCCUGUCUGAGUGUCG